rnacentral:rRNA from 1 species
UAGAGUUUGAUUAUGGCUCAGAUUGAACGCUGGCGGCAUGCCUUACACAUGCAAGUCGAACGGUAACAGGUUAAGCUGACGAGUGGCGAACGGGUGAGUAAUGUAUCGGAACGUGCCCAGUCGUGGGGGAUAACUGCUCGAAAGAGCAGCUAAUACCGCAUACGACCUGAGGGUGAAAGCGGGGGAUCGCAAGACCUCGCGCGAUUGGAGCGGCCGAUAUCAGAUUAGGUAGUUGGUGGGGUAAAGGCCCACCAAGGCGACGAUCUGUAGCGGGUCUGAGAGGAUGAUCCGCCACACUGGAACUGAGACACGGUCCAGACUCCUACGGGAGGCAGCAGUGGGGAAUUUUGGACAAUGGGGGCAACCCUGAUCCAGCCAUGCCGCGUGAGUGAAGAAGGCCUUCGGGUUGUAAAGCUCUUUCGGCCGGGAAGAAAUCGCAUGGGUUAAUACCCUGUGUGGAUGACGGUACCGGAAUAAGAAGCACCGGCUAACUACGUGCCAGCCGCCGCGGAAUAC